rnacentral:rRNA from 1 species
GCUUACGGCCAUACCACCCUGAACAGCCCCGAUCUCGUCCGAUCUCGGAAGCUAAGCAGGGUCGGGCCUGGUUAGUACUUGGAUGGGAGACCGCCUGGGAAUACCAGGUGCUGUAAGCU